rnacentral:rRNA from 1 species
UACGUAGGGUCCAAGCGUUAUCCGGAAUCACUGGGCGUAAAGCGUGCGUAGGUGGUCUGUUAAGUGAGAUAUUAAAGCGUGUGGCUCAACCAUAUCGUUGUGUCUCAUACUGGCAGACUAGAGGACGGCAGAGGCAAGUGGAACUCGUAGUGUAGCAGUGAAAUGCGUAGAUAUUACGAAGAACACCAAUGGCGAAGGCAGCUUGCUGGGCCGCCCCUGACACUGAGGUACGAAAGCGUGGGGAGCGAACAGG